rnacentral:tRNA from 1 species
GCCGGAAUAGCGCAGUGGUAGCGCAACUGAUUCGUAAUCAGUAGGUCGGGGGUUCGAAUCCCCCUUCCGGCUCCA